rnacentral:rRNA from 1 species
CAGCAGUAGGGAAUCUUCCACAAUGGGCGAAAGCCUGAUGGAGCAAUGCCGCGUGAGUGAAGAAGGUUUUCGGAUCGUAAAACUCUGUUGUUGAAGAAGAACAUGCGUGAGAGUAACUGUUCACGUACUGACGGUAUUCAACCAGAAAGCCACGGCUAACUACGUGCCAGCAGCCGCGGUAAUACGUAGGUGGCAAGCGUUGUCCGGAUUUAUUGGGCGUAAAGAGAAUGUAGGCGGUUUAUUAAGUUUGAAGUGAAAGCCCUCGGCUCAACCGAGGAAGUGCUUCGAAAACUGGUAAACUUGAGUGCAGAAGAGGAAAGUGGAACUCCAUGUGUAGCGGUGGAAUGCGUAGAUAUAUGGAAGAACACCAGUGGCGAAGGCGGCUUUCUGGUCUGUAACUGACGCUGAGAUUCGAAAGCAUGGGGUAGCAAACAGGAUUAGAUACCCUGGUAG